AAAUUGAAGAGUUUGAUCAUGGCUCAGAUUGAACGCUGGCGGCAGGCCUAACACAUGCAAGUCGAACGGUAACAGGAAGCAGCUUGCUGCUUUGCUGACGAGUGGCGGACGGGUGAGUAAUGUCUGGGAAACUGCCUGAUGGAGGGGGAUAACUACUGGAAACGGUGGCUAAUACCGCAUAACGUCGCAAGACCAAAGAGGGGGACCUUCGGGCCUCUUGCCAUCAGAUGUGCCCAGAUGGGAUUAGCUUGUUGGUGAGGUAACGGCUCACCAAGGCGACGAUCCCUAGCUGGUCUGAGAGGAUGACCAGCCACACUGGAACUGAGACACGGUCCAGACUCCUACGGGAGGCAGCAGUGGGGAAUAUUGCACAAUGGGCGCAAGCCUGAUGCAGCCAUGCCGCGUGUAUGAAGAAGGCCUUCGGGUUGUAAAGUACUUUCAGCGGGGAGGAAGGUGUUGCGGUUAAUAACCGCAGCAAUUGACGUUACCCGCAG
rnacentral:rRNA from 6 species